CAGGGAGGUGUAGUGCUGUAUUUAUGGGCCAGGCAUGUCACACUGACAUGCGGGCCGAGUCUAACGUCACCUUCCUUUUGCCCCGACGGGCACGUGGCUCGGUUCCCUCCGGGCAGUAGGGCAGAGGACAAGACAACUUUACUUUUCCCUGCCAGCCUGCAACGGGUACAGCUAUCCUCUGCCGGCUUCCGUCAUAGAUUCCCUUUCGAUGCUUUCUCUAGCGUGGUCACCUGACACCGGUACGCAGGCGCUGACUGCUUUUCUGAGAUGAUGAUGGCGCUGCUUUACUUUGCACUGCGUGGUCAGGAUAAGACCAUUGAAGGAUCUCGGCACCGCCGAGGUCAAGGGGCUCGUCCUUAUCCUGCAAAUUUACAAGAUAAGAAAACUAUGCCGGCAUACGCCUGGGAUGCCGGCUUAUCGUUAGUUUAACUUUAUGAUGCCGGCAUACGUUGCUAUGCCGGCUUUGCCUCCGUUAUCUCGGAUAGAGUCGUGUCGCCAUGACCCUACCCGAGGUCAUCCCCCCGACAGCAUGGUCGAUGAUGCAAGCGUUAGUAGGCCCUAUUCGGUGACCUUAUCACCGAAGGCGAUUGAACCUCUGUCUGGCACUUUGAUGUUUUAAAAUAGUUCGGUCAUCCGACCAAUCCUUGCUGGCUUGGCUUAUCCUAGUUGGUAUCUUCAUCAUAUGAAGAUUUUUUUUUUUGACUUGGUCUAUUGCCACGUAGGAUGAGAGACAUGGUUCACCAUCGGUGCUCCUCAUUUUCUUGGUUUAUCUUUUUUUCUUUUGUAUUUGUUGAUGUGGCUGGCCCAUCAUAGUUGGGUGGCUGGGGUCGUAAGCUCUUGUACCACGUGUCCACAUAUAACCUGGUUUUGUUCCUUCUUUCUAUUUUAAUUUUAUCCAACGACUAGCGCUAAGUCAUAAGAUGGGUUACACAAUUGUGGGCCAAUGGGCUUCUUCCUACGAUGCCACAGCCACAACAGCGUGCACGCAUCAUGGCUAACUCCAUCUUUUGGCGGACUUUAUUGGGCUACGACUGGCGCCCUGCUUCAUUUUUUUGUGAGCAGGGUCGACCCCAGGAGGUUGGUUUUGGUUUCUCGGUUGCAUAGAGUUUGGUCAUGGCCAAUAGAACAACGCACGUUGGUCGGUGCCACUACCUUUUCAUUUUUGUUGGGGUUGUUGCUUCGCCCACCCACCAUUUUUUUUGGCUCGAUGCAGCAAACGUGUGCGGUCCAACUGUCUUUCUUUAUUCCUCCCCUUUCUCGUUGUUUAGGUUAGCCUCGAUAGAGAGCGCGGAUAGGGGAGGGAAGGUUGUUUUCUUCCUUUGCACUCUCCACCUUUAGCUAGCCUCGAGAAAGGAGCGUAGGCAAGGAGUCGCCGAGUUCUCCCGUUUCUUGGAAGCUUUUCUACCGUUCCAAAUUCUUGGUUUUUAGGUGUGGGGAUUGGCAUUGGGAAUAGUGAGGGAGGAAGCGACCAGAGUGGUGAUGACUAAGGUUUUGUCGCACCAGUGGCACCCGGGGUACCACCGCUGCAUGACGCGUAGGCCACCUCGCUUGCUCCCUGGAAGGAUCGCACCCCGGGCAGCGCCGCACAAGCUGCCCGGCAAGUCG
rnacentral:lncRNA from 1 species